GCCGUCGUUGGCCUGGAGGCAGAGCUACCACUGCGAUUAUUUGCGGCAAGUCUCUGUAAGGAGGAAGGUGGAGGUUCGAAUCCUCCCGACGGCA